AGAACGAACGCUGGCGGCAUGCCUAAUACAUGCAAGUCGAACGAACUCUUCGGAGUUAGUGGCGCACGGGUGCGUAACGCGUGGGAAUCUGCCCUUGGGUUCGGAAUAACAGUUGGAAACGACUGCUAAUACCGGAUGAUGACGAAAGUCCAAAGAUUUAUCGCCCAGGGAUGAGCCCGCGUAGGAUUAGCUAGUUGGUGAGGUAAAGGCUCACCAAGGCGACGAUCCUUAGCUGGUCU
rnacentral:rRNA from 1 species